UCCGCCUUCUAUUUAUUUGGAAGGUUCGGUGGCGAGCCGGAGGCGAUGCCCAUUGCCGGGCCUCUGCCUGAACGCUCGCCCAUCCUUUCCCGUGCCGUCGAUGGCUGCUCGAACCUCAAUUCCGUCGGAGGUUUCGCUUCUACUCCCCUUCAUUUCUUGAUUGUGAUAAGGGAGGAAGGAAGCAUCGUUUGCCCUUCAUGAUAGGAAAGAGACUUUUAAAGAAUCGAAUAGAUGAAAAGCUUUCUCUGACAGAUCACCAAAGCAGGAGCUUGCUUUCGGUUGCAGUUGUCUGCUUUCUACUUGGUGAUCAGAUAGGAAUCAAAAAUGAAGCUGUUGCAGUGGGAACUAGUGGUGUGUUGCAAUGGGAAAGCCCCAUGGCUGCAUAUUAAUUCCAGGCAGGUUCAUUGAGGAUGGAAAGGAAGCCCAUGCUGCUGGUGCUGGACAAGUCUUGGGGGAUCGGGGCAGGUAGAACCAGCAGCAGUUGGGGCACAAAUGCUAGUAAGGAUAACUUGGUGAGCAUAACAGCUAAAAGAUUGUUUAAAGUGGAAGCUGUCAAAAACAAAUCAGUUGAUGUUUAAUCUUUUGAUAUGUGAAGUGCAUCUCUCCUAUCCUUUUUCAUAUAGCUCUGUGUUUUCCAAUCUAAAUUAUAAUCGAAUGAUUAGUUCCUUCUCUA